ACGGAGGCAGCAGUGGGGAAUCUUCCGCAAUGGACGAAAGUCUGACGGAGCAACGCCGCGUGAGUGAUGACGGCCUUCGGGUUGUAAAGCUCUGUUAAUCGGGACGAAAGGCCUUCUUGCGAAUAGUGAGAAGGAUUGACGGUACCGGAAUAGAAAGCCACGGCUAACUACGUGCCAGCAGCCGCGGUAAUACGUAGGUGGCAAGCGUUGUCCGGAAUUAUUGGGCGUAAAGCGCGCGCAGGCGGAUAGGUCAGUCUGUCUUAAAAGUUCGGGGCUUAACCCCGUGAUGGGAUGGAAACUGCCAAUCUAGAGUAUCGGAGAGGAAAGUGGAAUUCCUAGUGUAGCGGUGAAAUGCGUAGAUAUUAGGAAGAACACCAGUGGCGAAGGCGACUUUCUGGACGAAAACUGACGCUGAGGCGCGAAAGCCAGGGGAGCGAACGGGAUUAGAUACCCCGGUAGUCCUGGCCGUAAACGAUGGGUACUAGGUGUAGGAGGUAUCGACCCCUUCUGUGCCGGAGUUAACGCAAUAAGUACCCCGCCUGGGGAGUACGACCGCAAGGUUGAAACUCAAAGGAAUUGACGGGGGCCCGCACAAG
rnacentral:rRNA from 1 species